CGGUUGACAAGCCAACGCUACCUUGAAACUGUCUCAUCUAACCGGCCAUGGAAACCACCGAGCCUCGGCCCCCGACCAAUGUUUCAGCUAAUGCCACCGUCUCCGGCGACGGCAACGAAGAUAUUCCCAGCUUGAACACCAUGCCUAACCAUUCAUCUUCUCCUAAAACGACAGCUGGCCCUACCGCUUCUGAUCCUCAACCCAUGGACACCUCAGAACCCGUUAAUGAAUCCCAACCCACCUCCAAAACUGUACCCCAAGCCGCAGCCGCUUCAACCGCUGACCCUGCCCCACCUCCGCCGAGAAAGCGGCGUCGUCGAAAGAAGCUGUUUACUGAUAUGAUAUCGACCAGCUCCGCCGCGUCCGGCCUCCGCGUCCUCCGCCCCCAUCCUAAACCCUCUACCGCUUACUCCUAUUCCUACUCCGAAACCGAGCUCGUGGACGAACCCGACGAUGGGAAACCCCAUAUCCUCCAUCGCCGCCGUGGCGGCAGCGGAGGAAGCAGUAGUAAAAUAUCCGACCUAGCUAAAGAAGUCGACAUUGAAGCCCUGAUUGCCAUAUCCGUUGGAUUCCCUGUUGAUUCCUU
rnacentral:lncRNA from 1 species